CAAACACUAAAGUUUGGUUACAGAUGGAAAAUUGGCUCAGGGGCUAAAGUCAGAUUCUGGGAAGAUACCUGGUUUGGUACCUCCCCUCUGUCUGUGCAGUUCUGGCCGAUCUACUCCAUUUGUAAUGAGCAGACUAAGAGUGCUUGUGAGGUUUGGGAUGGGAAUCAACUCAAAUUA
rnacentral:rRNA from 1 species